rnacentral:rRNA from 1 species
CAUGGGAUCGAUAGCCAUGCUAGUUGCACGAGUUUAGACUCGUAGCAUAUAGCUCAGUAACACGUGGCCAAACUACCCUACAGACCGCGAUAACCUCGGGAAACUGAGGCCAAUAGCGGAUAUAACUCUCAUGCUGGAGUGCCGAGAGUUAGAAACGUUCCGGCGCUGUAGGAUGUGGCUGCGGCCGAUUAGGUAGAUGGUGGGGUAACGGCCCACCAUGCCGAUAAUCGGUACAGGUUGUGAGAGCAAGAGCCUGGAGACGGUAUCUGAGACAAGAUACCGGGCCCUACGGGGCGCAGCAGGCGCGAAACCUUUACACUGCACGACAGUGCGAUAGGGGGACUCCGAGUGUGAGGGCAUAUAGCCCUCGCUUUUCUGAACCGUAAGGUGGUACAGGAACAAGGACUGGGCAAGACCGGUGCCAGCCGCCGCGGUAAUACCGGCAGUCCGAGUGAUGGCCGAUAUUAUUGGGCCUAAAGCGUCCGUAGCUUGCUGUGUAAGUCCAUUGGGAAAUCGACCAGCUCAACUGGUCGGCGUCCGGUGGAAACUACACAGCUUGGGGCCGAGAGACUCAACGGGUACGUCCGGGGUAGGAGUGAAAUCCUGUAAUCCUGGACGGACCACCAAUGGGGAAACCACGUUGAGAGACCGGACCCGACAGUGAGGGACGAAAGCCAGGGUCUCGAACCGGAUUAGAUACCCGGGUAGUCCUGGCUGUAAACAAUGCUCGCUAGGUAUGUCACGCGCCAUGAGCACGUGAUGUGCCGUAGUGAAGACGAUAAGCGAGCCGCCUGGAAGUACUCCGCAAGU